rnacentral:rRNA from 1 species
CUAACAGGAUUCCCCUAGUAACUGCGAGUGAAGCGGGAAAAGCUCAAAUUUAAAAUCUGGCAGUCUUUGGCUGUCCGAGUUGUAAUCUAGAGAAGUAUUAUCCGCGCUGGACCGUGUACAAGUCUCCUGGAAUGGAGCAUCAUAGAGGGUGAGAAUCCCGUCUUUGACAUGGACUGCCAGGGCUUUGUGAUAUGCUCUCGAAGAGUCGAGUUGUUUGGGAAUGCAGCUCAAAAUGGGUGGUAAAUUCCAUCUAAAGCUAAAUAUUGGCGAGAGACCGAUAGCGAACAAGUACCGUGAGGGAAAGAUGAAAAGAACUUUGGAAAGAGAGUUAAACAGUACGUGAAAUUGCUGAAAGGGAAACGCUUGAAGUCAGUCGCGUUGGCCAGGGAUCAACCUUGCUUUUUUUGCUUGGCUUACUUUCUGGUCAAUGGGUCAGCAUCAAUUUUGACUGGUGGAAAAAGUUCAAGGGAAUGUGGCAUCUUUGGAUGUGUUAUAGCCUUUGUUCAUAUACAUUGGUUGGGAUUGAGGAACUCAGCACGCCGAAAGGCCGGGUUUUUAACCACGUACGUGCUUAGGAUGCUGGCAUAAUGGCUUUAAUCGACCCGUCUUGAAACACGGACCAAGGAGUCUAACAUGCCUGCGAGUGUUUGGGUGAAAAACCCGAGCGCGUAAUGAAAGUGAAAGUUGAGAUCCCUGUCGUGGGGAGCAUUGACGCCCGGAUCUGACCUUUUGUGACGAUUCUGCGGUAGAGCAUGUAUGUUGGGACCCGAAAGAUGGUGAACUAUGCCUGAAUAGGGUGAAGCCAGAGGAAACUCUGGUGGAGGCUCGUAGCGAUUCUGACGUGCAAAUCGAUCGUCAAAUUUGGGUAUAGGGGCGAAA